rnacentral:rRNA from 1 species
UACGUAGGGUCCGAGCGUUGUCCGGAAUUAUUGGGCGUAAAGGGCUCGUAGGCGGUUUGUCGCGUCGGGGAGUGAAAACCUACAGCUUAACUGUGGGCUUGCUUUCGAUACGGGCAGACUUGAGGCAUGCAGGGGAGAACGGAAUUCCUGGUGUAGCGGUGAAAUGCGCAGAUAUCAGGAGGAACGCCGGUGGCGAAAGCGACGUGCUGGACACCUUCUGACGCUGAGGCGCGAAAGCCAGGGGAGCAAACGGG